rnacentral:rRNA from 1 species
UUAAGCGACUAAGCGUACACGGUGGAUGCCCUGGCAGUCAGAGGCGAUGAAGGACGUGCUAAUCUGCGAAAAGCGUCGGUAAGGUGAUAUGAACCGUUAUAACCGGCGAUGUCCGAAUGGGGAAACCCAGUGUGAUUCGUCACACUAUCGUUAACUGAAUACAUAGGUUAACGAGGCGAACCGGGGGAACUGAAACAUCUAAGUACCCCGAGGAAAAGAAAUCAACCGAGAUUCCCCCAGUAGCGGCGAGCGAACGGGGAGCAGCCCAGAGUCUGAAUCAGCUUGUGUGUUAGUGGAACGGUCUGGAAAGUCCGACGGUACAGGGUGAUAGUCCCGUACACCAAAAUGCACAGGUUGUGAACUCGAAGAGUAGGGCGGGACACGUGGUAUCCUGUCUGAAUAUGGGGGGACCAUCCUCCAAGGCUAAAUACUCCUGACUGACCGAUAGUGAACCAGUACCGUGAGGGAAAGGCGAAAAGAACCCCGGCGAGGGGAGUGAAAAAGAACCUGAAACCGUGUACGUACAAGCAGUGGGAGCACCUUCGGGUGUGACUGCGUACCUUUUGUAUAAUGGGUCAGCGACUUAUAUUCUGUAGCAAGGUUAACCGUAUAGGGGAGCCGCAGGGAAACCGAGUCUUAACUGGGCGUUAAGUUGCAGGGUAUAGACCCGAAACCCGGUGAUCUAGCCAUGGGCAGGUUGAAGGUUGGGUAACACUAACUGGAGGACCGAACCGACUAAUGUUGAAAAAUUAGCGGAUGACUUGUGGCUGGGGGUGAAAGGCCAAUCAAACCGGGAGAUAGCUGGUUCUCCCCGAAAGCUAUUUAGGUAGCGCCUCGUGAACUCAUCUUCGGGGGUAGAGCACUGUUUCGGCUAGGGGGUCAUCCCGACUUACCAACCCGAUGCAAACUACGAAUACCGAAGAAUGUUAUCACGGGAGACACACGGCGGGUGCUAACGUCCGUCGUGAAGAGGGAAACAACCCAGACCGCCAGCUAAGGUCCCAAAGUCAUGGUUAAGUGGGAAACGAUGUGGGAAGGCACAGACAGCCAGGAUGUUGGCUUAGAAGCAGCCAUCAUUUAAAGAAAGCGUAAUAGCUCACUGGUCGAGUCGGCCUGCGCGGAAGAUGUAACGGGGCUAAACCAUGCACCGAAGCUGCGGCAGCGACACUAUGUGUUGUUGGGUAGGGGAGCGUUCUGUAAGCCUGCGAAGGUGUGCUGUGAGGCAUGCUGGAGGUAUCAGAAGUGCGAAUGCUGACAUAAGUAACGAUAAAGCGGGUGAAAAGCCCGCUCGCCGGAAGACCAAGGGUUCCUGUCCAACGUUAAUCGGGGCAGGGUGAGUCGACCCCUAAGGCGAGGCCGAAAGGCGUAGUCGAUGGGAAACAGGUUAAUAUUCCUGUACUUGGUGUUACUGCGAAGGGGGGACGGAGAAGGCUAUGUUAGCCGGGCGACGGUUGUCCCGGUUUAAGCAUGUAGGCUGGUUGUCCAGGCAAAUCCGGAUAAUCAAGGCUGAGGUGUGAUGACGAGGCACUACGGUGCUGAAGUAACAAAUGCCCUGCUUCCAGGAAAAGCCUCUAAGCAUCAGGUAACAUCAAAUCGUACCCCAAACCGACACAGGUGGUCAGGUAGAGAAUACCAAGGCGCUUGAGAGAACUCGGGUGAAGGAACUAGGCAAAAUGGUGCCGUAACUUCGGGAGAAGGCACGCUGGUGUGUAGGUGAAGUCCCUGCGGAUGGAGCUGAGACCAGUCGAAGAUACCAGCUGGCUGCAACUGUUUAUUAAAAACACAGCACUGUGCAAACACGAAAGUGGACGUAUACGGUGUGACGCCUGCCCGGUGCCGGAAGGUUAAUUGAUGGGGUUAUCCGUAAGGAGAAGCUCUUGAUCGAAGCCCCGGUAAACGGCGGCCGUAACUAUAACGGUCCUAAGGUAGCGAAAUUCCUUGUCGGGUAAGUUCCGACCUGCACGAAUGGCGUAAUGAUGGCCAGGCUGUCUCCACCCGAGACUCAGUGAAAUUGAACUCGCUGUGAAGAUGCAGUGUACCCGCGGCAAGACGGAAAGACCCCGUGAACCUUUACUAUAGCUUGACACUGAACAUUGAGCCUUGAUGUGUAGGAUAGGUGGGAGGCUUUGAAGCGUGGACGCCAGUCUGCGUGGAGCCAACCUUGAAAUACCACCCUUUAAUGUUUGAUGUUCUAACGUUGGCCCCUGACCGGGGUUGCGGACAGUGUCUGGUGGGUAGUUUGACUGGGGCGGUCUCCUCCUAAAGCGUAACGGAGGAGCACGAAGGUUAGCUAAUCCUGGUCGGACAUCAGGAGGUUAGUGCAAUGGCAUAAGCUAGCUUGACUGCGAGCGUGACGGCGCGAGCAGGUGCGAAAGCAGGUCAUAGUGAUCCGGUGGUUCUGAAUGGAAGGGCCAUCGCUCAACGGAUAAAAGGUACUCCGGGGAUAACAGGCUGAUACCGCCCAAGAGUUCAUAUCGACGGCGGUGUUUGGCACCUCGAUGUCGGCUCAUCACAUCCUGGGGCUGAAGUAGGUCCCAAGGGUAUGGCUGUUCGCCAUUUAAAGUGGUACGCGAGCUGGGUUUAGAACGUCGUGAGACAGUUCGGUCCCUAUCUGCCGUGGGCGCUGGAGAAUUGAGGGGGGCUGCUCCUAGUACGAGAGGACCGGAGUGGACGCAUCACUGGUGUUCGGGUUGUCAUGCCAAUGGCACUGCCCGGUAGCUAAAUGCGGAAGAGAUAAGUGCUGAAAGCAUCUAAGCACGAAACUUGCCCCGAGAUGAGUUCUCCCUGAGACUUUAAGUCUCCUGAAGGAACGUUGAAGACGACGACGUUGAUAGGCCGGGUGUGUAAGCGCAGCGAUGCGUUGAGCUAACCGGUACUAAUGAACCGUGAGGCUUAACCUU